GUUAAGCCAUGAACCCAACUUCAAUCUGUUGGAUUCAGCCCAGUAGUUGAAACACGGUACUUGUCUGAUUUCUUAUCCACUCUGUCUCUCUCCUUUUGAUUGCCCAUAAUAUCAGAUGAAAGUAAAGCAAUGGCUAGUGCAGCUGCGAGCGCCAGUUCCAUGCUUUGUUUGUCAUUGCAGAACCCAACCAAAACCCUUCAUUUCUCUAUCAAAACACAUUCUUUUCACUUCUUAAAACCCCACCUUCCUGCCUUUCGUCGGUACUCUGCGGGAGUCACACCCAUCAGUCCACUUCGUGGCUUCUCCUGCAACUGUUCCUCCACCAACACUACGCACUAUGAGUUCUCUGAUGGGUCUUCUGAAGUGGAACUAAGGUUGCAACUUGGUGGUCAAGAUGUUCUAAGUGCUAAAGAUAUAUUUGUAGAUGUGGAUGGUACUUCUCUAACAGUCAAAAUACAGCAAGCUGGGUCCAUCAUCACACUUAUAGAUACUAAUAGUCUGUUUGAGAAAAUAAAGCCUGCUGAAACAAUAUGGUAUAUAGACGAUGAUCAACUUGUUAUUAGCUUAAAGAAGCAGGAUCCGAAUCUGAAAUGGCCAGAUAUUAUGGAAUCAUGGGAAUCAUUGUCAGCUGGUUCUAUGCAACUUCUUAAAGGAACAUCAAUUUACAUUGUUGGGGAUUCCACUGAAAUUAACCAAAAAGUGGCCCGAGAACUCGCUGUUGCUCUCGGGUACACGCCACUCGUUACAAAAGAACUAUUAGAAACUUUUGCCAAGCAAACUGUUGAUUCAUGGGUGCUCGCUAAAGGCUCUGACUCUGUGGCUGAAGCAGAAAGUGCAAUAUUAGAAAGCUUAAGUUGUCAUGUCCGGGCUGUUGUUGCAACCUUAGGAGGGUCUCAUGGGGCUGCAGGAAGGACCGAUAAAUGGAGACAUCUUUAUUCAGGGUUUAGUAUUUGGUUGUCACAGACUGAAGCUACAGUCACUGUGCAGAUGAGGAUUCAGCAAAGGAGGAAGCGAGAAGGCACAUUGAAGAUGGUAAUGUUGGCUACACGAAUGCAGAUGUGGUUGUGAAGCUCCAGGGUUGGGAUGCUGAUCAUGCCAAAAGUGUAGCUCAGGCAUCCUUGAGUGCCCUCAAACGCUUAAUUCUAUCUGACAAGAAACUUCCAGGUAAGAAGAGCCUUUAUAUAAGGUUAGGAUGUCGCGGGGAUUGGCCAAACAUCAAACCACCGGGGUGGGAUCCAUCAACUGCUACUGAUGCACCCCCGCCUGCUACAUUGCAAAAUUAAUUUUCAUUUUAAACACCAACAUGCUUUGCAUUUUAUAUCAUAUAUAUAAUGUGAUCUAAAAGAGAGUUUUUUUUUUUUUCUAUCAUGCUUAUUUUUUAGGUCAAUUUAUCUAUUGUGAAGAUUUAUCUUUUAUCUAUGGCACUGGCAUUGACCCUACCAGAAUAGAAAAAAGCAACGUUCCACGCGGUUUACUAGUUUUAUAUCAUAUAUGUGAUCUGAAAGAGCAUUUUUUUCUCAUGCUGUCUAAAGUCUUUUUAUUAUACAUGCAUAUCCGCGAAGGCACACCGUAUUUUAAGUAGAUUUGGCUCAUCUUUGACUUAACAAAGUGGAAUUUUAAGACGUCUUCAUUUUUGAAACACCUCAAACUUCCGCUUUAUCACAUCUCUGAUAAAAAAAAUUGUAAGUCCCAGGCAACAACAAUUUGUAUUAUACGAUAACAAAGCAACGAGUCCACAUUGAGAACCACAAAAAAAAAAAAAAAACACACUAGAAUGCGCGGGUCUACCACGACAGUUCCGAUGAAAACAAGUCGUCAGCAUAGCCAAAUCCUCAUUACUAGAGAGACACCUAGCAAUUACACCAUUAUUACGAGAAACAUUACCUUCAAUAAACAUAUCCACA